UGGGGGAUAUUGCACAAUGGGGGGGAACCCUGAUGCAGCGACGCCGCGUGAAGGAAGAAGUAUUUCGGUAUGUAAAACUUCUAUCAGCAGGGAAGAAAAUGACGGUACCUGACUAAGAAGCCCGGCUAACUACGUGCC
rnacentral:rRNA from 1 species